UACGAAGGGGGCUAGCGUUGCUCGGAAUCACUGGGCGUAAAGCGCACGUAGGCGGCUUUCUAAGUCAGGGGUGAAAUCCUGGAGCUCAACUCCAGAACUGCCUUUGAUACUGGAGAGCUUGAGUCCGGGAGAGGUGAGUGGAACUCCGAGUGUAGAGGUGAAAUUCGUAGAUAUUCGGAAGAACACCAGUGGCGAAGGCGGCUCACUGGCCCGGUACUGACGCUGAGGAACGAAAACUAGGGGAGCAAACAGG
rnacentral:rRNA from 1 species